UUUCCAACAUCUUUUUAUUUGAUUCGAUUAUUUAUUCAAUUAUUGUUUUUUUUAAACAUUGUUUUACAUAAUACAAUGUAUAUUUUCUCAUAACUGUAUCCACAUAUAACCGGAUCAUGUAUCCUCUAUGAUGUUAACAUAAUUGUAUAUGUUUCCUAUAUGCUAAUGUUGCUGGAAUAAGCUGAUCAUGCUCUUAUCACCAGUAUCUACUGAUGGCCGCUAAUGUUCCCUGCUGAGGCUUCACCAUGAAAUGCAUGUGAUAGAGUUACACUCUGAGCUUCACCCUCAUAUCAUUAUCAUGGCCAUCAUCAUCAUUGUCGUCAUCACAGUUGUCAACAUCCUUCUUGCCGUCAACGCCUUCCGCCACACAGAAAAAGUUGUUCGCCAGAAGACAACAACAAAAAAGAUCUAGAAUCAGUUUACCCCAAUUCUAACUAUAACCAAUCAGGAGGGAAAUACAAAACUGAUCAGCGUCAAAAGGCACCAUCAUCCUAUAGGCUAAUUAUAGGUACUGUACAUUGUGUUCAAUAGGCAGGAAACUGAAUAUUGUUCGAAAUGUAGAGAAAUUAUGUACUUUCUGGUACUUUUUUUUGUUACACAGCAUUUUGCUACCCUGUUCCCUACUCAACAAGCCCCAGGGGACCCAAGCAGGCAUGUUUUAUGGUUGGCAUUUAUUGUCAUACUUUUUUCCCUGAAGGCAGCUCUGCAAAGUGGUCACUAGCUGGCAGAGCCACAAAGUCAUGCAAAGUCAUAGUUUUGUCGGACCUGGACUACUGCCCAGAUGUGUGGUCAUGUGCGGCAAAGAAGGACAAAGGUUAAAUUGCAGUUGGUCCAGUACAAAGCAGCACGUAUCGCACUUAGAUGUACACGGAGGGAACGUGUCAGUGGCAUGCGUCUCCUGGCUCAAAGAUGAGGAGAGAUUGACUGCAUCACUAUUGGUCUUUGUGUGAGGUAUUGAUCUGUUGAAGGUACUGAACUGUCUGUUCAAGCAGUUGACACACAGUUUGAACACCCAUUGAUACAACACAAGUCAUGCAACCCAGAGGUCUCCUCACAGUCCCCAGGUCCAGAACAAGAGGCUGGGAAACACAGUAGUAAAUAGAGCCAUGACAACAUGGAACUCUCUGCCACCCCAGGCAACUCAAGCUAGUAAUAAAACCAGAUUUAAAAAACAGAUAAAAUAACACCCUACUGCACAAAGGGAACUGUGAAUUGACACAGUCAUUUUUAUAUAUAUUGUAUUGUAAUUUGCACUGUACUAUGUAUUAGACCUAGAUAUUGUGUGUAUGCACUGAUACAGUGCAUUCAGAAAGUAUUCAGACCCCUUGACUUUUUACACAUUUUGUUACGUUGCAGCCUUAUUAAAAAAUUGAUUAAAUCUUUUUUCCCACAGCAAUCUACACACAAUACCCCAUAAUGACAAAGCAAAAACAGGUUUUUAGAUUUUUUUUGUCUAUAUAAUGUCUCACACAAACCAAGUCAUGAGGUCGAAGGAAUUGUCCGUAGAGCUCCGAGACAGGAUUGUGUCGAGGCACAGAUCUGGGGAAGGGUACCAAAAAUUUUACUCCUCAGUAAAAGGCACAUGACAGGGAAAGAUGAACGGAGCAAAGUACAGAGAGAUCCUUGAUGAAAACCUGCUCCAGAGCGCUCAAGACCGCCAACUGGGGUGAAGGUUCACCUUCCAACAGGACAACAACCCUAAGCACACAGCCAAGACAACGCAGGAGUGGCUUCGGGACAAGUCUCUGAAUGUCCUUGAGUGGCCCUGCCAGAGCCCGGACUUGAACCCGAUCGAACAUCUCUGGAUGUGGAAAAAGUCAAGGGGUCUGAAUACUUUCUGAAGGCACUGCAUGUAGGCUAUGUGUGAAGUUUUAAAUGUAUGUAUUUCAGUCCUUGACUAAUAACAUUCUGUACUAUGUAUAAUGUCAUGUUUCAUGUGGACCCCAGGAAGAGUAGCUGAUGCUUUUGCAGUGGCUAAUGAUGCUUUUGCAGUGGCUAAAUAUUGCAACAAUCAGUGACAUAGGGUACUCUCUGCACAAUAUACCAAAAACCACAUUCUUGUAAUUUUCCUGAAAUCAGUCAUUAUUUGUCACCCACUCUUUCCUCCUGUAUCUCUCUGGUUGCUCUUGAUUUUUAUAACUCAAAAUACAACUUUAACCCACAUUUCCAGACUUGCCAUUUCAGGUGCAGCCAUUAAAACAGGAAGAGAAACUUGCAUUCGAUUUGGAACCAUCAACAACAACCCCCACAUCACACACCCAGCGUGUGGAGGAUAUAGGGGAGAAGCUGUGGAUUCUGUUUGUUUGGCUAGUACAUGUUGAGCCGUGUACUCUCUAAUGUACCAGGCUGAGGGUGCAGAUUAACAGCCCCUGGUCUACAUCCCAAAUGGCACCCUAUUCCCUAUAUACUGCACUGGACCCUGGUCAAAAGUGGUGCACUAUAUAGGGAAUAGGGUGCCAUUGGAGAUGCAACCCUAGUCUCAUAGAGCUCUGUCUCUGUCUGUCCCCCAGCAGCAGCAGAAUAUCAUUAGGAGGCUGUUUUUUGGUGGAGCAACAAAGUACCCAUUCAUUUCCCCCACUCUCCAGAGAGCCAGGCCAGCCCAUGGAGCACGUGACCCCCAAAGGCCAACCUGCGAGGGGGUAUGAAAAUGAACCUGGCUGGCUCUGUCAACAGCGCCAGGCACACACAGUGACGUGGCAAAGCACUACCCAGGGCUCAUGCAGGCUUUUUGCAAUGAUUUUGAAACUGCAUUGAUAAGAGCUUAAAAAUAGAAGUACCCGAUGUUGCAAUAGGGGGCAGAUCAAUACAAUAUUUAAAUGAGCUAUGUGCAUGCAGUUAAAACAAUUCUGUCAUAUUUGUUUUGUUUUACGUGAACAAUUAUUUGUUUUGCUUAUUUUCAUAUUUUCAUGCAAUAUCUGCAUACAACAGAAAUGUAUUUAGUUCCAUAUUUACUAGUUACAAUGACGCAACACAAUAUUUGCUUUUCUGUGCACGACUGAAUUGCAUUUUUAUUUUGUAAGUUUAAUUAUGAAGCAAUUACUUUUCUUUAUGCAUGUAAUUAUUUGAGCAUAUAAAUUACUGCAUUAAUUACUACUUAACAACUGCAUAAUCAUAUUUUCUUAAAACAACAUUUCUAUUGCAUUAACAUUUAGAAAAACAUGCAAAGAUAAACUUUUAUCAGAAACCUUCAAAAGACUCACAAGCCACCAAAAGGUUAAUUAAUACAUUUUUCUAAAGUCAAUUUACCUCUUCAAAAUGAGCCUACCUGCUGUGUAGAUGAUCAAGAGGACCAGACAGAGGGAAAAUGCCACACACUUCUUCAUCUUGGUCUCAGCUCUCCUGUCCGGCUCCUUCUGCACUGAGACCCCAGUCCGUAGGAGAUGAGGGGGUAAAUUCUCCUCUUACGUCACCGAUCACCUCCCCAAUCCAAAUAUCACAAAACAGGGUCACAUAACUGUGAAAACAUCUGUUGACUGUCACUGUGCCUGCUGUUCUGGCAUGAGACAUGUAUUUAUUUGUAUA
rnacentral:lncRNA from 1 species